rnacentral:rRNA from 1 species
GACGAACGCUGGCGGCGUGCUUAACACAUGCAAGUCGAACGGAAAGGCCCUGCUUGCAGGGUACUCGCGUGGCGAACGGGUGAGUAACACGUGGGUGAUCUGCCCUGCACUUCGGGAUAAGCCUGGGAAACUGGGUCUAAUACCGGAUAGGAGCCAUUCUUAGUGUGAUGGUUGGAAAGUUUUUUCGGUGUAGGAUGAGCUUACGGCCUAUCAGCUUGUUGGUGGGGUAAUGGCCUACCAAGGCGGCGGCGGGUAGCCGGCCCGGGGGGGUGGACGGCCAAAUUGGGGCUUGGAUAACGGCCCGACCUCUACCGGGGGGCGGAGGGGGGAAAAUUUGAACAAGGGCGGAAGGCCUAAGGAGGGAAGGCGGGGUGCGGAUUACCGGCCUUGGGUUGUAAAACCGUUUCGCCAUGUAACAAGCCGUUUGUGACGGUAAUUAGAAAAGAAGCACCGGCUAACUACGUG